UUGAUCCCUGGACUCACACGGUGGGUUAAGGAUGCAGCAUUUCUGUGAGUGCUAGUGUAGGUAACAGACGCCGCUCGGCUCUGGCACUGCUGUGGCUGUGGACUGGGUUGGCAGAUGCAGCUCCGAUUUGACCACUAGCCUGGGAACUUCCAUAUGCCACAGGUGCAACCCUGAAAAAGCAAAAAACAAAACUAAACAAAAAACAAAAUUAAAAUAUCUUUAUUAUCUUUGCUGAUUAUAAGUAUUAUGUGCUCAUUGUAAACUAAUUUAACAAUACAAAAUUUUAUAAAACAGUACAUAAAAGUAUUCCAAACCAAGUGUAUGCUAUAUAUAGACAUACACAGGAUUCUAAACAUUUCGUAACCCAGUCCCUACUUUUCUUUCCUUUUAAUUAAUUACAUAUCAUUAACAUCUUUCUAUGUCAGUGCAGAUGGGUCUCCCUCAUUCUUUUUAAUGGCUGUAUAUUCAUUAAAUAAAUGACCAAUAUUGUGUUGAGACAUUUAGGACAUUAUCCAGCUGUUUGUUGUUACAAGCAAUGCAAUAAACAUUAUUUUACUUAGAUUUUUUUUGAUGCACUUUUCAAUUAAUUCCUUGGGCUAGAUUUUAGUAUUGGACUCAGUGGACCAAAGGGCAUGCACAUUUAAAAUGUUAAUAGACAAGCCAAAUUGCCUUCCAGAAAAUUGGACCAAUUUGCACCUCUAGCAACAAUGUAUGGAAGACUCCACUUUCCCACUUUUGAUCACAUUGGAUAUUAUUAUUAUUAUCCAUUUUGCAAAUCCAAUUAUUAGGUAAUCUUCUAUUUUAAUGGAUCAUCUGCAUUUUUUCUUUUGCAAAAUGCCUAAUAAAUCCUCUGUUCCCUCAUCAGAAUAUUAACCCCAAAGAACACAGAUUGAAUUUAUUAAUUUCUCUGGAUGUGUUUAUUUUAGUCAUUAAUUCUAAUUCCAUAACUACAGAUGCAUUUUAGAGAGUUUUUGCAUUUAUUUCCUUCUUGGUAUCCUUAAAAAUUUACUUAAAGAUUGUGCUGUCUUUUACCCUCUUGCAACACCAUCCCCCAAAUCCCUCACUCUGUGAGGAUAAUGACACUUGACAGUGGCGACGAAAUCUGAAGAACACAGCAUUUGCAUCUCAAAUAUAAUAUUGCUAAUAUAAAAAAAUUUUAUCUCCUUUCCUUAACAGUUUUGAACAUGUGAGGCUGGGAUAUUAGUAAGGAAAUUCUCGUUGAGUGCAAUAUUUAGAGAAUUUUCCUGUUUCUAUUUGUAAUGAGGUACACAAACACAAAUUAUGUUAGGAUACAAGCUUAAAGGGUUAGCAGUGUUUUAAAAACAGUUGUCAGACUCAAGUGAAACACCUGGUGAAAUGUGGAUUUUUUUUUUCCUAAAUAGUUCUAACAUGUGCACAUAUAUUACUUAUUUUAAAAUGUCAGCUGAGGUUAUCUAGAUGGUAAAAUUAUAGGGUUUUCUGUUUUGUUCCCUAUAUAUUUUUAUAUUCAAAAAACUAAUAAAGCAUUUAAAUCUCUUUACAGAGAUAUUUAUGUACAUAAAAGAGUAGGGACAUUCACUACUAGAGUGGUGUGGUGCCAAGACUUUUAGAAUGAAAUCCAAGAACCUGGGAUUCUUAUCUCCUCCACUCCCCUCUGACCUCAGGAGAAUCCCAUAGCUGCCUUUUUCUUUAACUCAAGAACAUCUUUGUUAAGUGCCUCUACUGUAAUGAAGCUUUAGAGCUUUUAUUCUUGCGGGGGGCGGGGGAGAGGGUUCAGAGAACAAAUUAUUGCAAUGAUAUGAUAAACCGCCAGUUUACUUUUUUUUUUUUCUUUCUUUUUAUGGUUAAAACCUGUGGCAUAUGGAAGUUCCUGGAUUAGGGGUCGAAUCAGAGCAGCAGCUGCUGGCCUUUGCCACAGCCACAGCCAUACCAGAUCCAAGCUGUGUCUUCAACCUGCACCACAGCUCAAGGCAACCUAACCCACUGAGCAAGGCCAAGGAUCAAAUCUGCAUCUUCAUGGAUACUAGCCGGUUCUUAACCCUCUGAGCCACAACAGGAACUCCACCACCAGUUUACAAUUUACCAACUACUUUUUCCUUGAUCAGAGAUGGCAUUAUUUUAUCCACUUUUUUUUUUUUUGGCAGUCUGAUAGGUGAAAAGUAUUUCCUUACUUUAUUAGGCGUUUAUUUGAUUCACAGUAAUGCUGAGGUUGAACAUCUUUUCCCCUCUCUCCUUUUGUAUGCCUCUCUGUGUGUGUGUGAUUCUCACAGUUACAUCCUUUGUUCCUAAUCCACACGAGAACACGAGAAGGGAGAACCUAUGAGAGCCCUAACACAGUGGUCAGGGAGGGAUCCCCUCCCUAAGACUUGAAGGAUGAGUAAAGAUGACAGCUGUGUGUGAGAUGAGAAGUGCUAUUAUCUCUCAGAUCAAAGUCCACCUUUAUAUACUCUGACUUUGUGAGUCAGGGACUAAAACUGAAAAUAACAUUUUUAUUUUGCCAGCUGCCUCCCUGCCAGGUUUUGCCAGUGGGAAAACUGGAAGGAAACUGGAAGGCAGGAGUUGGGAGAUAGGAUUUGAGCCUUCCUUUGUACUCGCUGUUACUUUUGGUGUCUCCCCAGUGAAAUCCCUUCACUCCGGCAGCUGCAGUUGGUUUCAGCCUCCAGUUGUAAUUCUUGGUUGGCAUUGCAAGAACCAGCGUCAUCCUGACUCCACAGAGAUACCAAGAGCCGUCUGGAUGUUCCUACUUCUCAGAGUCUCAGCCCACACCUGGUAUGUCACCACUGGUGGGGCAAAAUCCCUCCUCCUAAAUUUGAGUCCUUGGGCUUUCUUGUGCAAACUUGAGCUCAGCUCAAGUCUCUUCCCUUGGUUUUUCCAAAAAAGCUGCUUACAAUCUCUAUUUUGCCCUUGGGACCCCAUUCCAUUAAAUUCUUUCUGAUGAAACACCUAGUGUGAUUUUUGCUUUCCUUGCUAGACCCUGAGGAACUCCUGUGGAGGAGAGAUGAGGUUUAUCUUUUGCCUGUUGAGAUUAAAGGGCUACAGGGCAACUGGAUUUUAAGACUAGCAGGCAGUUGGAAACAGUAGACUCUAACUUAAAAAAGUGUAUAUUAAAACUAGAAAAAUUAGAAUGAUCUGCCUCCUUAUCUACAUAGAAUCAGGCUUGGUAUAAACAAUCACUUCUAGCUUUGAAUUUUCUGACGUGUAGAAAUGUAUUGAUGCUUUUGUUAUGAAGAUAUUUUUGUGAUAAGAGUAGCUGAACAGCUGACUUGCGGAUAGCUUCAGUUAUGGAGCAAUCGAAAAGUCUAAAAACUCAGAACAGUCUUCAAGCAUCAUGCUAUCAAUUAAACCAAAAAUUUUACGUGGUAAUGUGGCCUCUAAAGUUUUUAGAGUGAUAGUAGAAGUGAAAAUGUCCCAUUAUUUUGAGUGGUUUGAGUAAAACUGGAGUAAAGAUGCUAAAUGCUAUAAUAUCCCUCAACAGAAGAACUUGGAGUGGAUGAGCAGUUUCCCAUUAUCACUCCAUGAGAGGCAAUCUUCUUUCUUCUACCAGUUUUCACAAAAGGAAAUCUAAAUACCACUGAAGAGUUUUAGACAUUAGGCUAAAGCCUCUUUAGCUCCUUAGAAUGGAAGACGAAGAGAAAGGUCAAAAAAACAAAACACUACAAAAACCAUAUCGUACUAUUAUUAAGUCAUCAAAAACUUUUCAGUGUACUUGAGACCUCUAUUCCCCUACUGUUGCCAACCAAUCAAAGUGGCCAUCCUAGCUAAUAAGCUGGUAUGAGAUGGUACUUUUGAAAAAGAUACUGCCUUUGGGAAAGACCUCUGUGUGCCUUUGUAAGGUAAUAAGUUCAAGGGAAACCUAGCUGACACACUCCAAUGAUUUCAAGGCAGUUUAAAUGUAAUAAAAUAGGCGUGAAAUGCUCUAAUAAGUGCUCCUAAGUCAGGCUUCCUCAGUCUGAUAUUUAGAGGUUUAAAGUAGAAAAGCCUUUUUCAAAUAGAACAAAACAUGAGGCAGGAUCAAGAGUGGCGCAUAUAAAACCAGCCUGAGCACUGUUUUAAAGUUUUUAAUGUGCUACAACAAUGAAGGGGAACACUUUACAGUUAUCACAGUUUUCUUUUUUUGUUUUCAUUUCUUACAUGUUUAACCUUUUUCCUCUUUUCAGUCUCCAUUGUUUCAUGGUCAUUUGUUGGGCAAGGAAUAUUUCAAGUAUUUUAUUUUGUUAUGAGAAAAAGUCUAUCGGUUUUUCUUUGAGACUCUGAAUUCAUAUGAAUUUUUCCAUGGGAUCUGUUUCUUAACGUGUGAUUAGUUCCAUUACCCAUGAGAAUAAAAAUGUUCAGCGGAAAAAAAAAAAAGUUCAGCGAUAGGCUGUAUCCAUAAAUCAGAUUUGAGGUGGUUUGAUCUGAAGUUCUGAAAUGUUAUGUUUUUACUUUAUGUAUUUUUGAUCUUUUGAGUAUGAAUUUUUUAAUAUUAUGAGUUUCUUCCACUUUCCUAUUUUUUCUUUUAAUUUUACAAAGUGAAAGAACAGAAACUCUAGGAAUAAGAUCCGUGUUUUAAGGAUGAAAGUUGUCAGCAUCUCUUGAAAUGUAGGCUUCUAGACUCCUUAACUAUUUCUUCGCAUCUAAUCUUCAGUGCAUCAUCAUUGUUUUGCAUUUUAAUUCUUGGUCCAGGAGGAAUAUUUGUAAAAGGACUUCCUUAGGAGUUCCCAUCGUGGCUCUGCAGAAACAAAUCUGACUAGGAACCAUGAGGUUUCGGCUUCGAUCCCCCUCUCUCAGUGGCUUAAGGAUCCAGUGUUGCCGUGAGCUGUGGUAUAGGUUGCAGACACAGCUCAGAUCUGGCAUUACUGUGACUGUGGUGUAGACUGGCAGCGAUAGCUCUAAUUAGACCUCUGGCCUGGGAACCGCCAUGUGUUGUGGGUGCGGCCCGAAAAAG
rnacentral:lncRNA from 1 species